rnacentral:rRNA from 1 species
UACGGGGGGAGCAAGCGUUGUUCGGAUUUACUGGGCGUAAAGGGCGCGUAGGCGGUCAGCACAAGUCAGUUGUGAAAUCUCCGGGCUUAACUCGGAAAGGUCAACUGAUACUGUGCGACUAGAGUGCAGAAGGGGCAACUGGAAUUCUCGGUGUAGCGGUGAAAUGCGUAGAUAUCGAGAGGAACACCUGCGGCGAAGGCGGGUUGCUGGGCUGACACUGACGCUGAUGCGCGAAAGCCAGGGGAACGAACGGG